rnacentral:rRNA from 1 species
AAUUUUGCGCAAUGGGCGAAAGCCUGACGCAGCAACGCCGCGUGAAUGUUAAGCCCUUCGGGGUGUAAAGUUCUGUCAGUGGGGACGAAACUUGACGGUACCCACAGAGGAAGCACCGGCUAACUCCGUGCCAGCAGCCGCGGUAAUACGGAGGGUGCAAGCGUUGUCCGGAAUCAUUGGGCGUAAAGAGUUCGUAGGCGGUAUGUUAAGUCUGGUGUUAAAGCCCGAAGCUCAACUUCGGUUCGGCACUGGAUACUGGCAAACUGGAAUGCGGUAGAGGUAAAGGGAAUUCCUGGUGUAGCGGUGAAAUGCGUAGAUAUCAGGAGGAACAUCGGCGGCGAAAGCGCUUUACCGGGCCGUUAUUGACGCUGAGGAACGAAAGCCGGGGUAGCAAAUGGG